rnacentral:rRNA from 1 species
GGGCUCACACAAGCGGUGGAGGAUGUGGCUUAAUUCGAGGCUACGCGAAGAACCUUAUCCUAGUCUUGACAUGCUUGGAUUAACCCCAUGAAAGUGGGCCACGCCUUCGGGUGGAACAAGCACAGGUGCUGCAUGGCUGUCGUCAGCUCGUGUCGUGAGAUGUCGCGUUAAGUCGCUUAACGAGCGAAACCCUUGUCUCUAGUUGCCAACGAGUAAAGUCGGGGACUCUAGAGAGACCGCCGGCGUUAAGCCGGAGGAAGGUGGGGAUGACGUCAAGUCCUCAUGGCCCUUAUGACUAGGGCUGCACACGUCCUACAAUGGAUCGCACAGAGGGAAGCAAAGCCGCGAGUCGAG